rnacentral:rRNA from 1 species
GACAGAGGGGGCAAGCGUUGUUCGGAAUUACUGGGCGUAAAGGGCGCGUAGGCGGCCUGCUAAGUCGAACGUGAAAUCCCUGGGCUCAACCCAGGAACUGCGUCCGAUACUGGUUGGCUUGAAUCCGGGAGAGGGACGUGGAAUUCCAGGUGUAGCGGUGAAAUGCGUAGAUAUCUGGAGGAACACCGGUGGCGAAGGCGACGUCCUGGACCGGCAUUGACGCUGAGGCGCGAAAGCCAGGGGAGCAAACGGG